UCUGACAGCAAUGCUAUUUUCUCCUUUGGAAAUUUCUGUUCCGUGACGGAAUUUCUGUUGUGUUUGUGUUUUGGCCUGU